GAUGAACGCUAGCGAUAGACUUAACACAUGCAAGUCGAGGGGCAUCACGAGGUAGCAAUACUUUGGUGGCGACCGGCGUACGGGUGCGUAACACGUAUGCAACCUUCCUGUAAGUGUGGGAUAGCCUCCUGAAAGGGAGAUUAAUACCUCAUGAUAUGUAUUUGCUGCAUGGCAUUUACAUUAAACAUUUAUGGCUUACAGAUGGGCAUGCGUUCCAUUAGGCAGUUGGUGUGGUAACGGCUCACCAAACCUACGAUGGAUAGGGGUUCUGAGAGGAAGGUCCCCCACACUGGAACUGAGACACGGUCCAGACUCCUACGGGAGGCAGCAGUGAGGAAUAUUGGUCAAUGGGCGCGAGCCUGAACCAGCCACGUCGCGUGAAGGAUGACGGCCUUAUGGGUUGUAAACUUCUUUUACUAGGGGAAGUAAAGUGAGUCACGUGUGAUUUUUGCAUGUACCCUGUGAAUAAGCAUCGGCUAACUCCGUG
rnacentral:rRNA from 1 species